AGUGGCAGACGGGUGAGUAACAUGUAGGUAUCUGCCCUUUGGCCUGGAAUAACACGAGGAAACUUGUGCUAAUACCGGAUAAGUCUUUACGGAGAAAGCUUUAUGCACCAUUGGAUGAGCCUGCACUUGUUUAGUUUGUUGGUGGGGUAAUGGCCUACCAAGACUGUGAUCAAUAGCUGAUUUGAGAGGAUGAUCAGCCACAUUGGGACUGAGACACGGCCCAAACUCCUACGGGAGGCAGCAGUGGGGAAUCUUGCACAAUGGAGGAAACUCUGAUGCAGCGAUGCCGCGUGAGUGAAGAAGGCCCUUGGGUUGUAAAGCUCUUUCGUCGGGGAAGAAAAUGACUGUACCCGAAUAAGAAGGUCCGGCUAACUUCGUGCCAGCAGCCGCGGUAAUACGAAGGGACCUAGCGUAGUUCGGAAUUACUGGGCUUAAAGAGUUCGUAGGUGGUUGAAAAAGUUAGUGGUGAAAUCCCAGAGCUUAACUCUGGAACUGCCAUUAAAACUUUUCAGCUAGAGUAUGAUAGAGGAAAGCAGAAUUUCUAGUGUAGAGGUGAAAUUCGUAGAUAUUAGAAAGAAUACCAAUUGCGAAGGCAGCUUUCUGGAUCAUUACUGACACUGAGGAACGAAAGCAUGGGUAGCGAAGAGGAUUAGAUACCCUCGUAGUCCAUGCCGUAAACGAUGUGUGUUAGACGUUGGAAAUUUAUUUUCAGUGUCGCAGCCAAAGCGAUAAACACACCGCCUGGGGAGUAC
rnacentral:rRNA from 1 species